UGCAGUCGAGCGGACGGAUGGGAGCUUGCUCCCUGAAGUCAGCGGCGGACGGGUGAGUAACACGUGGGCAACCUGCCUGUAAGACUGGGAUAACUUCGGGAAACCGGAGCUAAUACCGGAUAAUUCUUUCCCUCACAUGAGGGAAAGCUGAAAGAUGGUUUCGGCUAUCACUUACAGAUGGGCCCGCGGCGCAUUAGCUAGUUGGUGAGGUAACGGCUCACCAAGGCAACGAUGCGUAGCCGACCUGAGAGGGUGAUCGGCCACACUGGGACUGAGACACGGCCCAGACUCCUACGGGAGGCAGCAGUAGGGAAUCUUCCGCAAUGGACGAAAGUCUGACGGAGCAACGCCGCGUGAGUGAUGAAGGUUUUCGGAUCGUAAAACUCUGUUGUUAGGGAAGAACAAGUACCGGAGUAACUGCCGGUACCUUGACGGUACCUAACCAGAAAGCCACGGCUAACUACGUGCCAGCAGCCGCGGUAAUACGUAGGUGGCAAGCGUUGUCCGGAAUUAUUGGGCGUAAAGCGCGCGCAGGCGGUUCCUUAAGUCUGAUGUGAAAGCCCACGGCUCAACCGUGGAGGGUCAUUGGAAACUGGGGAACUUGAGUGCAGAAGAGAAGAGUGGAAUUCCACGUGUAGCGGUGAAAUGCGUAGAGAUGUGGAGGAACACCAGUGGCGAAGGCGACUCUUUGGUCUGUAACUGACGCUGAGGCGCGAAAGCGUGGGGAGCAAACAGGAUUAGAUACCCUGGUAGUCCACGCCGUAAACGAUGAGUGCUAAGUGUUAGAGGGUUUCCGCCCUUUAGUGCUGCAGCAAACGCAUUAAGCACUCCGCCUGGGGAGUACGG
rnacentral:rRNA from 2 species